AUGGCGAUGCCAAGAGUGUUAAAAAUAGCAUGUGAUGGAUCCAUAGUGAUGGCCAAUGUCAAUGUUCAUGGUGAUGGCAAACUCUGUGAGGGUCACAGUGCCUUUGCAAUUAGAACUGAAAAGCAUCAGACAGCCUGGGCAAUCAAGAUGGAGUCUCACACCCAGGUCUUCAUAUUCCUGCUCCUCUGGUUGUCUGGUGAUGAGGGGAACAUUGUGAUGACCCAGACUCCUGAAUUCAUGUCCACAUCUGUUGGAGAAAGAAUUAGCCUUAGCUGCAAGUCUAGUCAGAGUGUGAGUGGUUUGGUAUCUUGGUACCAGCAGAAACCAGGGAAGCCUCCUAAACUGCUGAUCUAUGAUGCAUCCGAUAGAUACACUGGAGUCCCUGAUCGCUUCACAGGCAGUGGAUCUGGAACAGAUUACAUUCUCAGCAUCAGCAGUGUGCAGGCUGAAGACCUGGCAGGUUAUUACUGUCUGCAGUAUGACAGCUAUCCUCCCACACCCUGCGAGGCCUGCCUGUACCAUUUCAGGACUUUAGUCACUGAGCAUGAAAGAUCAUCAUGCUUGCGGAAAACACUGAGGCUUCAGCUUCCAGGUUUCAUGAGAGAACUUCCUAGUAUGAAAUUUGAAGAUAAUUUUUAUUCUGAGACAUUAAAUGGGAGAUACUCAGUGGGCACUACUCUAUAUAACAAUAUUACUGGGUUUCUGAUCAUUGGGACAAGACAAUAG